rnacentral:rRNA from 1 species
UACGGAAGGCAGCAGUGGGGAAUAUUGGACAAUGGGCGAAAGCCUGAUCCAGCCAUGCCGCAUGAGUGAAGAAGGCCUUCGGGUUGUAAAGCUCUUUUAGUGAGAAAGAUAAUGACGGUACUCACAGAAGAAGUCCUGGCUAACUCCGUGCCAGCAGCCGCGGUAAUACGGAGAGGGCUAGCGUUAUUCGGAAUUAUUGGGCGUAAAGAGCGCGUAGGCUGAUUAGUAAGUUAAAAGUGAAAUCCCAAAGCUUAACUUUGGAAUUGCUUUUUAAAACUGCUAGUCUAGAGAUUGAAAGAGGAUAGAGGAAUUCCUAGUGUAGAGGUGAAAUUCGUAAAUAUUAGGAGGAACACCAGUGGCGAAGGCGUCUAUCUGGUUCAAAUCUGACGCUGAGGCGCGAAGGGCGUGGGGAGCAAACGAGGGAUUAGAUACCCG